CCGGUGCAGCGACAGGAAAACCUCCCUCUCGGCACCGCCGCCCCAGCCGCCCAACCCCGGCCCCCCCGCUGGCCCUGGCGGCGGGGCCGGCCCGGCCGGAGCCCCGCGCUGGCCGCUCACCUGGGCGGAUUUCCUGCAGGGUCCGGACUGCAGGAAGCGGGCGAUCAGAUAUCCCGGCCCCAGGCAGCCGCCGACCAGGGUGCAGCGCCGCCGCCCACCACUCGGGGGCGGCCGCCCAGGCAGGGGAAAGCCCAAGCGGAAGGAAGGACGGACGGACUCGGAGGACGUGCCUGGACAGAGACGCUCUGAACUGCUUAGGGGCCCCAGCCAUAGAGCAGGACUCCACUGUGCUAGAUGCUGUACAAAGACAGAACAAAGAGAUGGUCCCUGCCCUGAUAAGGUUACAAAUCAAGUAUAAGAACAGAGACAAAAGCCCUCUCUUUACUGGGAAAGCACCACCUUAAAAGAGGUUCCAGGAGCAGCCAAUGACUCGGGAUUUCUUGGUAGCACAACUCUUAUGGAGCCAUGCUGUCAGGGACACAGGAUCUCUACACAAAAAGCCAUGGCCUGCUAUGGAUCCCAGACAUCAAUGUCAAUCCCUGGCUUCUGGGGACAAAACUACUGGCCAUUCUGCAACAUUGGUGUGUGAUAUAUCUGUUCCCAGAAGAGAAUGAUCCUGCACAAGGGAAUCCUGAUGGAGUUUUUCGUUUCUAGGCCUUCUCCUGCAGCUCUUUCCAUGGGAGGAGGGCCAAUGUCAUUUUACUAAUUUUUCCUGAAUGAAUGGGAAGCCCAAAGAUGGCAACAUCAGGUGAUUAAUACAUCAUGUGAUUUUUUUCAACUCUACUUAUUUAAUAAGGAUAUAUUUAAGAGGAUGAAAGCUAUUCUUAUAAUUAUAAACAAAAAGCUGUUAAAAGAAUGUUAAUGUUGAUGAAAAGUUAAAAUUGGACAGUGCCGGAAUUACAGUAGCCUCUGAAACCUA